rnacentral:rRNA from 1 species
UCGACGGUAACAGGAAGAAGCUUGCUUCUUUGCUGACGAGUGGCGGACGGGUGAGUAAUGUCUGGGAAACUGCCUGAUGGAGGGGGAUAACUACUGGAAACGGUAGCUAAUACCGCAUAACGUCGCAAGACCAAAGAGGGGGACCUUCGGGCCUCUUGCCAUCGGAUGUGCCCAGAUGGGAUUAGCUAGUAGGUGGGGUAACGGCUCACCUAGGCGACGAUCCCUAGCUGGUCUGAGAGGAUGACCAGCCACACUGGAACUGAGACACGGUCCAGACUCCUACGGGAGGCAGCAGUGGGGAAUAUUGCACAAUGGGCGCAAGCCUGAUGCAGCCAUGCCGCGUGUAUGAAGAAGGCCUUCGGGUUGUAAAGUACUUUCAGCGGGGAGGAAGGGAGUAAAGUUAAUACCUUUGCUCAUUGACGUUACCCGCAGAAGAAGCACCGGCUAACUCCGUGCCAGCAGCCGCGGUAAUACGGAGGGUGCAAGCGUUAAUCGGAAUUACUGGGCGUAAAGCGCACGCAGGCGGUUUGUUAAGUCAGAUGUGAAAUCCCCGGGCUCAACCUGGGAACUGCAUCUGAUACUGGCAAGCUUGAGUCUCGUAGAGGGGGGUAGAAUUCCAGGUGUAGCGGUGAAAUGCGUAGAGAUCUGGAGGAAUACCGGUGGCGAAGGCGGCCCCCUGGACGAAGACUGACGCUCAGGUGCGAAAGCGUGGGGA